rnacentral:rRNA from 1 species
AUGACCGAUGAGGAAAUCUUGAGGAAGCACAGCCAUAUGAAGUUAGUGUGCUCACCGUCAAGGCUCGCCAAAGUCAUGAAAUUGUUGUCACCAAAACAAAUAGAGAAAAUCAUAAGCGAUACCGGUCUUGGGUGUCUAAACAUGAUUCGUGAAUUUAAACUCCGGCGCAUUAUGUUGAUAAGACUAGCAAAGAGCUUAGAUAGUGAGACAUCGUCCAUUACCAUAGGUAAAACACCCAUUCCUAUCACCACAGAAGAUGUGCACCAUAUAUUUGGCCUUGCGGUAGAAGGGGAGGAUAUUGAUGAAAAGCUGCAAAGCACGCCGGAUCCAAAUUUGUUUAACACAUUUCAAAACAAUGGGAGCAUUGAUCUGGCAGACCUUGAGACAGCGAUCUUAAGUUCCAAAACUCCGGACAAUGAUUUCCUGGUGCGGUUUGUUCUAUUCGCUAUUGGCACAGUUUUAGCACCAACAGCACAAUGUUAUGUCGAGGCGAAAUACCUCAAACUUGUUGCGGAUAUUAAAAGCCUUCAGAAAUUGAACUGGGGAUGUUUCACAGUGAAACACUUGUUCAGGUCCAUACACAAAUUUAACUCUCUUGAUCAAGUAUCUCUACAGGGAAAUCUACCUCUGCUUCAGAUUUGGUACUGGGAGCACCUGCGUUCCGGCAAAUUGAUGUAUACUCCUAUACCCCCACCAUUGGUCGCACGAUGGGACGAAUGCACGUGCGUAAUAAGAGCAGACGCUUACACCUCAGGAGGUCUUCAUAAAGGACUGGUUGUGAUGGAAAUUAGUGCUCGAAAACCAGAGGCCAACAACAGAAAGGAUCCAGGAAGCAAACAAAUUGUACGUGAGGAUGAAGGUGAUUCAUCUCGAGCACAAUCACAAGGUCAAAAUAUGAGUAGCCACCAACAUAGAUUUGACGCGAAAUUCCUCACCCUGAGCGAAGAGUUAAUCGACAUUAAGAGUAAAUCUGGCAGUAAUCCUAGGCUCUCGCUGCUCGAGGACGAAAUUAAGGACUUAAGGAUGGAACUGAAGUCAGCCGACAAUCCGAGUCACAGAAAGCAGGCGUCGAGUGAUCCCUUCAUGGUGACUCCUAAGUUCGACGCAUCCACGCCACGUACUUCGACUCCAACACCAAGUGCCAGACAUGUCCUGCCAAACAAGGACAAUCCUCGAAUCACACCGUUGAAGCCUCUGUUUGAUAAUGAUUACGUGCUCACCGUUGAGGACAAAGAGGCAGCCAUUUUCAUCCGGGGAACACACAGCCAUGUUGAAGUCGUUCAAAUCGGAGACAUUCCCCUAAGAGCGGAACAACUGAAGCCAAUUUAUGAUAAAAAAUACAUCCGUGGUGAGGUUAUUAUGGCGUAUGCUCACAUCAGCGGAGUUGAGACUGAUACUACCUCAGUCAUAUCCCCCAAUGAAACCAGAAAGCUUUAA